UACGUAGGGGCCGAGCGUUGUCCGGAAUUACUGGGCGUAAAGCGCGCGCAGGCGGCUGGUCAAGCCCGACGUGAAAGCCCCCGGCUCAACCGGGGAGGGUCGUCGGGGACUGAUCGGCUUGAGGGCGGUAGGGGCCGGUGGAAUUCCCGGUGUAGUGGUGAAAUUCGUAGAGAUCGGGAGGAAUACCAGUGGCGAAGGCGGCCUGCUGGGCCACGACCGACACUGAGGUGCGAAAGCGUGGGGAGCGAACCGG
rnacentral:rRNA from 1 species